GGCUAACACUGGCGGCGUGUCUUAGCCAUGCAAGUCGAGCGGACUUAUGGGGUAACUUAUAAGUCAGCGGCGGACGGCGGAGUAACACGUAGCUAACCUACCCUCUGGACGGGGGAUAACCUACCGAAAGGUGGGCUAAUACCCGAUGUAGUCAUCCUGUAUAGGGGGUGAUGAAAGGUGGGCUUCUGUUUACAAGCUCAUGCUGGAGGAGGGGGCUGCGGCCUAUCAGGUAGUUGGUAGGGUAAUAGCCUACCAAGCCGAUGACGGGUAGCCGGCCUGAGAGGGUGUACGGCCACACUGGGACUGAGACACGGCCCAGACUCCUACGGGAGGCAGCAGUGGGGAAUAUUGCGCAAUGGGGGAAACCCUGACGCAGCGACGCCGCGUGAGCGAAGAAGGCCUUCGGGUUGUAAAGCUCUGUUGUAAGGGACGAAGGAUUGGGGUAGUAACUGACCCCAAGGUGACGGUACCUUACGAGGAAGCCCCGGCUAACUACGUG
rnacentral:rRNA from 1 species